UACGUAGGGUGCGAGCGUUAAUCGGAAUUACUGGGCGUAAAGCGUGCGCAGGCGGUUUUGUAAGACAGGCGUGAAAUCCCCGGGCUCAACCUGGGAAUGGCGCUUGUGACUGCAAAGCUAGAGUGCGGCAGAGGGGGGAUGGAAUUCCGCGUGUAGCAGUGAAAUGCGUAGAUAUGCGGAGGAACACCGAUGGCGAAGGCAAUCCCCUGGGCCUGCACUGACGCUCAUGCACGAAAGCGUGGGGAGCAAACAGG
rnacentral:rRNA from 1 species